rnacentral:rRNA from 1 species
GGGUCAGUAGGUUGGUCGUGCCAACGGUACGUACUGGUCUCACUGAUUCCUCCUUCCUGAAUAACCGUAAUGCCAUUAAUUUGGUGUUGCGGGGAAACAGGACUGUUACUUUGAAAAAAUUAGAGUGUUUAAAGCAAGCUAACGCUUGAAUACAUUAGCAUGGAAUAAUGAAAUAGGACGAUCGAUCCUAUUUUGCUGGUUUCUAGGAUUGACGUA